UACGUAGGGUGCAAGCGUUGUCCGGAAUUAUUGGGCGUAAAGAGCGUGUAGGCGGCCCGAUUAGUCCGCUGUGAAAGUCCAGGGCUCAACCCUGGAAUGGCGGUGGAUACUGUCGGGCUAGAGUCCGGAAGGGGCGAGUGGAAUUCCUGGUGUAGCGGUGAAAUGCGCAGAUAUCAGGAGGAACACCAAUGGCGAAGGCAGCUCGCUGGGACGUGACUGACGCUGAGACGCGAAAGCGUGGGGAGCAAACAGG
rnacentral:rRNA from 1 species